rnacentral:lncRNA from 1 species
GGAGAUUGAACAGCUGCUGGGAGCUUUGCCAGAGUUCUACUAGACAAAAGGAGGGAACUUUUUUGGGGGCAAAAUAAAGUUAGUAGAGAUCACCAAGUUUGGUUGGCCAUUGGAGGAAGCUAAAGGGGAAAAUUUCUGGUGAUUACUGAGAAGAAAGGGGAGGAAAGUAGGAGAGUUUUUAUCCUGAGGGACCCCAAGCGGGCGGAUGGUGGUAGCCCUAUAUGAGAUGGUGGAUUGGCCACCAGCACAGUAGAUUUGGAAAUUUGGGGGCAUGAAACAUGUGAGUACGGAUAGGGUGGAGCAAAGCUUGGUAGUGGCUCAAGCAACCAUAUUCUGUGCAUGGUGAGUUGCCCAAGCUGUAAGUUAGUCAUGAAAAUGAUGGUGGAGGUGAUUGGCGCAUGUUAUACUGAUGUGCUGACAAAAGGAGGGAACUUUUUUGGGGGCAAAAUAAAGUUAGUAGAGAUCACCAAGUUUGGUUGGCCAUUGGAGGAAGCUAAAGGGGAAAAUUUCUGGUGAUUACUGAGAAGAAAGGGGAGGAAAGUAGGAGAGUUUUUAUCCUGGAGGGACCCCAAGCGGGCGGAUGGUGGUAGCCCUAUAUGAGAUGGUGGAUUGGCCACCAGCACAGUAGAUUUGGAAAUUUGGGGGCAUGAAACAUGUGAGUACGGAUAGGGUGGAGCAAAGCUUGGUAGUGGCUCAAGCAACCAUAUUCUGUGCAUGGUGAGUUGCCCAAGCUGUAAGUUAGUCAUGAAAAUGAUGGUGGAGGUGAUUGGCGCAUGUUAUACUGAUGUGCUGACAAAAGGAGGGAACUUUUUUGGGGGCAAAAUAAAGUUAGUAGAGAUCACCAAGUUUGGUUGGCCAUUGGAGGAAGCUAAAGGGGAAAAUUUCUGGUGAUUACUGAGAAGAAAGGGGAGGAAAGUAGGAGAGUUUUUAUCCUGGAGGGACCCCAAGCGGGCGGAUGGUGGUAGCCCUAUAUGAGAUGGUGGAUUGGCC